rnacentral:rRNA from 1 species
UACGUAGGGGGCAAGCGUCGUCCGGAUUUAUUGGGCGUAAAGAGCGUGUAGGCGGCCAGGUAGGUCAGCUGUGAAAACUCGAGGCUUAACCUCGAGACGCCGGCUGAAACCCUCUGGCUAGAGUCCGGAAGAGGAGAGCGGAAUUCCUGGUGUAGCGGUGAAAUGCGCAGAUAUCAGGAAGAACACCCGUGGCGAAGGCGGCUCUCUGGGACGGUACUGACGCUGAGACGCGAAAGCGUGGGGAGCGAACAGG